GAUCGGAUGGCCGAGCGGUCUAAGGCGCCAGUUUAAGGCACUGGUCUUCAUUGGCGUGGGUUCAAAUCCCACUCCGGUCA
rnacentral:tRNA from 1 species